UACGAAGGGGGGCUAGCGUUGCUCGGAAUCACUGGGCGUAAAGCGCACGUAGGCGGAUUGUUAAGUCAGGGGUGAAAUCCUGGAGCUCAACUCCAGAACUGCCUUUGAUACUGGCGAUCUUGAGUCCGGGAGAGGUGAGUGGAACUGCGAGUGUAGAGGUGAAAUUCGUAGAUAUUCGCAAGAACACCAGUGGCGAAGGCG
rnacentral:rRNA from 1 species